rnacentral:lncRNA from 1 species
UGGACGCAUACAUUCUAUGAGUAAUAAUAAGAUUGAAAAAGAAACCACUAAGAAAAAGUAAGGGUUAAAUCCAUCAAAUGGAAUCCUGGAGCCACCUCUUGAUGCUAAUAUUCUGGCCAAGAUCAGUAACAAAGAUAUAAUGUAAUCUGGUUUAACUAACCCUAAAGCUAGCUCAUCUCUGUGCAAUCUCAUAUAGGGCCCUAUUCAGGUGUGUCACAAUUAUGGUAGUAGCUAUAUGUGUCAUCUUUCUUCAAUUGUGUCUGUAAUGGUUUCAUGAACUGGAGUUCCAGGUUCUGUUGUAGAGAACCCUUCAGCAGCAGGGGAUACUCCUAGUCCGUCGGAAAUUCUGAUUUCUGGGAUUUGCGAAGGAAGGUCAGGCAAUAUCUCAGGAGAAGCUUCACUUGCUGCGAGCAGUGUAGGUGCAUUGCUUCCAUUGCUUUCAGAUGGCUCUUCUGACAUAGAAUUAGAGCUGUCUUUCUCUUCAUCAAAGACUUUUGCAAUUGCAGUAAGCUUUUGCCAUAUUGAAUCAUCAGUGGCUAAGAUUUCUCUAUUCUGAUAAAGGAGGAUGAGGAAGAAUAGGAGAAGAGCGGAGCCUGCUGAAACACCAGCUAUGAGGAAAAGUCCCUUAAAACUAUCUAACGUGAGGCUAUCAGAUGUUAUUGCCGUUUCAUCUUUCUGUGGACAAUCUGUUUCAUUCCCAAACCAUUUCUGUAUUAUGUUAUUCAUAAACUCUCCCUCCAUCACCUUCAAGACUGCUCUUGAGACGUCAGGUACCAAAGGAGAUCCUUUUGGAAAUGCCUGCAAUAAAAGAUUAGAUGAUUGAGUAAACAACAAAUCAUUCUAAAUAUAUAUGUUAACAGUGUCUGAAACAUCAGUGGAGUGUACAAUCUUACAAACCCAAAGCCGGCAGCCUUGUAUGUCUGGCCGACCAUAAUAUACUUCCUGCAGUACUUGUUGAGGAAGAGUCUGAGAUAAGGUAGUUCAUCAACAAUUGCACCUACACCUCCAAUUUUUUGCUUCCUCUUGAGAGUGCAUCAUUAUACUCUUCCAAUGUGCUAUAAUUUCUGAACUUGGAGCUGUCAAAUUUCAUGUGCUUUAUGAAGACGUCUUUGACAAAGGAACCUUCUUGGUACCCAACAUAUUCUCCAUUCUUGAUGAGAUCAUUGAGGUCUGUUAUAGUAGGUUGGAGCUGUUGCAGUGUCAACAUAGAUGUUAAGCUGGCUGUAUAACUUGAUGUCAGCACCAGAACCACAAAAACCCACACAAUCAGCAAAAAUCUUGUUAAGUUACUUGUUACCCUCUCUCCUGCAACAACCAGCCAUAUAUAUGAUUUGUUGAGACACAAGGAAAAAUCCUAUAUCUUUCGUAUAUAAUAAUAUGCUUUGAGUUAGUGUCUUACUAUGAGCAAAAACGAGAGUUGAGAAGGAAAACCAAAAUAUCAUCCCAACUUGGUUGCGUUUGGGUCCUCGGAACUCUUUGUUUACACGAUGUUCGAGUACCCAAACCACAAAACCAAUGAAAACGAAGAAUGCUCCAGUUGUUAUCCAAAGCUCGCUCUUUAGAGGUUUCAAGAAAAUCCAAGCAUCCCUCCUAUCAUCAUCCCUUACCGGCACAACUACAGAAAUACCUGACUCUAUAAAAGGUAAUGUGAAAUCCACAUACUCUGACCGGCUCGCUAAAAUGGUCACAUCACCUACAACUGCAUCAUAGUCCUGGCUCAAGCAAACAUUGAUUAUUCCAGUAUGUAUAGUUGAUUGUAAUAGCAGAAAAUAGAUAUCGAAGUCCCAAAAAGGGCCAUGUUAGUAAGAUAUAGAGCCAAAGAGGUUUAUUGGAACAGAGAUUAUAUAUUACCUGAGAGGUGAUCUUGUGAACAAGAUCAUCAUAGUCUGGAAGAGUGAGGGGAUCUUGUAUUGGAAAUGGAAUAAAUUCGUAAGGGAGAGCAUAUGGCAAAGAUAGGAUGACUUCUUUGAAGACAUCUGCACAGAAACCAGUUGCUGUUACUGCUUGUGUUUUUGAAUCUCUUUCCACUUUAAUGAGUUGCUCCAGCCCUCCUUUGAGAGGAACUCCAACCCUUAACUUCUUCCCACUUGUGGGCAUUUCCCAGCCUCUUGGAACAAUAGUUGAUUCACCAGGCCAAAAAAUGGCUCCUAGUUGCUUAUUAUUACACUUAACUGCUGUUUUACCAUUCAUCUUCAGUUUACACGAAAUGCCAUCCCUCUUCGUCCAAAAUCCAAUGUUUUUCUCUCCUUUCCCAAUUAUAUUCACAAUCUGAUAUGGGAUUGGCUGCAGUUCUCCAUUGAUGAUACGGAAAUCACCACUUAAUCCUUGUUUUAGCACUGUGUUUCGCAUAGAGUCAAUGAGCAGAGAUCCCACUGCUGACGUUCCAAGUGCAUCUAAGUCUGUUAAGUUCUCUCUGGUGUCUGGUUUCUUUAAUUUUGGGAUAGCAGUAGUGCCUACUUUAUCUACUGCUUCUGCUAAUGAGGUGAUGCUAUCGUAUGCCCAUAGCCCAAAAACAUUGAGUUCUAUUUGGUCCAUGUCUGGAUACUCUUGACGGAAUCUCUUUCUCCAUCUCUUUGUGUAGUUGUUAAGCUGAUUUGAUCUUGGAAUGUAAGGUUUUAUACCAAGAACACCUUGCAUUGAUGACUCGAUCACUGAAUGAUCUACCAAGUCCAGAAGACUCGUUAGCACAUCUGUGAUGAUCCAUGCAUAUCCACUGCUCAUCAUCCCUGCUUCUUUGGCCUUGAGAAAAAGGCGGGAGGCAAGAUAUGGACGCAAGUGCACGACGAACACCCUUGUUUGCUUUGUAUUCAUAUUGUAUAACUCCUUGAGAAUCUGAUCAUCAUUGGCUGACGGAGAAAUAACACUUCUAUAGGAGACUAAAGUGCUGAUUUCCAGUAAGGCAUCAGUCAAAUGUGGAACUAUCCCGAACCCAUAGGGGCUAUCCUCAUAGAUGACCACAACCUCCCUCCAAUCAAAGUUUUUAACAAGUGCUGCAAUGGCCUUAGUCUGGCUGGAAGAAGGAAGUGCUGCUCUGAUGAAGAAGGGAUUUUCCUUGACUGUAAGUAAAGGACUUGUUGCUGGAGAAAUGAUUGGGACUUUUACUCUGUUCCCUAAGUCGAUCACAAAAUCAGUUUGUGUAGACAUUUGUGGCCCAAAGAUAGCUUGUACUUGGACAUCCUUUAGCAAGUAUAUGGCUGCACAUACACAAUCAGACAAUAAGAAUUUACCCAAAGUAAGAGUUUAAUAGAAGUGAAUCAUGGAACUGAAUUUACCAGCAGAUGUUGCUUCAACAUCAUCUUUCUUGGAAUCCUUGAUAUGAGGAACUAUCCUUAUGGCACCGCGACUAGCGUUGGCAUGAUAAUCUUCAAGUGCUAGUAAGAUAGAUAUGUGCAUUACUUUUCCCACAUCUGUUUCCAGAUCAAGAAUUAUACCCACAUCCACCUUUACAGCACUAGUGUUAUUAUCUUCACCUCUUAUUCGAACCACAUAGUGGUAAAAGCUAAUGAUGGAGAUAAGUUGAAAUGAAAAGAAUUAGAAAAGUGGCAUCUUGGAUUAUGCAUUUGAAAAAACUCUGGUAGCAAGUAGUCUGAGAGAUGGGCAACAAGCAGUUGUGCUUGUGCAAGAUAACCACACAUUCAGAAUGACAAUUUUCCUAUAAUUAAUAAGACCAAACUCCAUAAAUGAAGAAAGAAAAGUCAAAGAACAAAUGGUUGAAAAUCAAGUAUUCGUUUGAUUAUUGAAAGUGAGGACUUUUCACAUAUGCUACAACCGCACAGCUAGUAAGCAUAUUACCCCUCAGGUUUGACUAAAUAAAAAUUUGACAAAAUUGAUUGGUACUCAUUCCCCAACACCCAAUUACUUUUUGUGUGUACUAUCUAGAGGAUAUAUUCAAGGGAACUUACAUGAAUUCAACUAAUUUAGGAGUUAAUUACUUAAAUACAUUGUAGUUUGCAAUAUUACGUAUUUUACUAGAUUUUGGUAUGUCCAGAUACAUUCAGAUACAUAUAUGUGAGGUUACUUAGGAUCAAAAUUAGGUGUAAUUUGCUCUAGAUGCAUUGUAUCUAAGUGACUUUGCAUGUAUCUGGGAUACAUAACAAAUCUCGCUCGCCUCUCUCCCAUCUCUCACUCUCCUAUGUAUCUGAUAUUCCAUAUACAUGUGAAUCACACCAGAUACAUACACAUAAAUGUAUCUUAUGUGUAUAUAGUGUGAUUCGCAUGUAUCUGGGAUACAUAACAAAUCCCGCUUGCCUCUUUCCUCAUCUCGUUCCCCUAUCUUCCUAUUUUUGUGUAUCUGAUGGCAAAAAUUCAUGUAGCCAAAUGUAUUUUCCUCAAUAUAUGAUAGGAAACUCUUAAUUAGUGAUAGUAUACGAAAUAUUUUAAAAGUAUAGAAUAUAAUAGUAUAUAUGAUAGUGAAGUAUGUCUAAUGAUAUAGUUUUUCUGUAUUGAAAGGACUUCCCAAAUUUUGGCUGAGGCAUAAAAAGUUGACAAAUUUAGCUCAGUUACAAAUUCCACAAUUAAACCAAUAAGUAGAAGAGACCAUUGUUUUCCAACUUGGACAAGGCUAGAUACGACUAGUAAUCUUUAGUUUACGCGUUUUCAGUUACUAGUCUUUGGACACGUGCGUUGCACGUAUAUCCCAUAUUAUAUGGUUGCAUAAUAUAUGUCUAUAGUUACAAAUAUAUGUAUAAAAAAAAAUUGAUUGUGAUAUAAAUUGGAAAACAUGUAUAAGAUAAGAAAUCAAAACAGAUACCCUCAAAUUUCAAACUAUAAGCAUAAUAAGAAUAUGUAUUUCUAAUGAGUUUAAUCAAUCAUACCUUGCAAUAAUCUCUGCAAUUCAUUGAGAAACUUUCAAUCCAUACAUCAACAUUCAAUCGUGUAUAUAUAAAGAAAACUUGAAAUGCAUAACAACAAUUAUAUCUAUAUUUUUUAAAACACUAUAAAGUCAUUUUUUCUUUUUGCAUUAUAAUAUGGAUUGCACACAAUUUCUAUUAAAAAAAAGAAAGACAAAAUUAGGAAAAAUCGUAUCAAUAAAUUGGAAUGAAAAAUGUAAAAUUGUAAUAAGAGGAAGAGAAGAAAAAUACAGUAGAAUAUAUUACCUAACCAUGAAUAAGGAAGUAUGUUGAGUAAAAGAAGAGUAAUGCAAAAGUGUGAACUGAUAUAUGGAGGAAAUUGACAAAUAUAAUAAUCUAUAUUGAAUAAUGAAAAACAACUCUUCAAUUUCUGCAAAAAUUUUAUAACUACGAGCUCAAAAUAAUAUAAAUUUAUUAAUUUAAUAAAUGACAUAAAUAAAUAAAUAACAUAUAUUGUGUGUAUGUGUAGUUAAUGGGGUAGUGAAAAAGACUCUUUCUGAAAUUAUUUUUAUCUCUUUAAAGUAAUUUUGAACUUUUGAUAUUAGUGCUAUAGAAAAUCAUAUAAAGUCAUAAGCCACUGCAAGUUUUUAUAGUAAUUAUCUUAUUAAAUUAUAUACCUAUUAUUAUUUUUAAUUAUUUAUAAUCAUUCCGAAAAUGUAUAAAUUAAUUUUGAAAAGCUUGUAAAAUGAGAAAUUAUUAUUUCUUAUCAUUAUUUUAGCUAUUAUUAACAUUUAGUAUGACAACAUUUUAAAAAAGCAGCUUCCUUUAAAUAUUAAUUGUUUCUAAAUUAACAUAGCCAAGAAUUUAAAAUGUUGUGACGUUUUGUUUAUCUAAACACGCAGAAUUUUGUUUUUGAACCUGGAACAUGUAAUUAAGCCUUGGGUGAAUUAUAAUUUUAUUUUUACUAUUUAAUUAAUUAAAUAAUUUGUAACAUUUUAAUAUAAUGAAGGGGUAAAAUGGUAACUCAACUUUAAAGGUUGGAGCUUCCCACUUUUAGUAAUAUAUGAUAAAUUGGUCAGUAGUAGUAACCUAGUUUAAUUUGAUAUAAUAACAUUCAUGACAAAAUAAAUUAAAUAUGGCUAAUUAAGAAAAUAUAAUUAAAUAUGAUUAUCUUUAAUGUUAUUUAAAUUUGUAGGCGAUUUUUUUUGUAUUUUAAAAUUAAAAAAAGGCCAAAAAACCCACAAAAAGAGAUAAAUAGGAUUGAAGCCCUUAGAGAGCGUCACCUCACCGUUUUCAUAUUCAACUUUAUUAUUAUAUAUGGAUUUAGAUUUUUGCACAACCUUAAAUUUAAGGACACAUUUAGAUAUUAUAUCAAACAUUCAUUUAUUUGAAGUUGAAAUUACAUUUUACAUGAAAAUUGGAUAUUCCAUAUUCACAUUGAGUAUGAAUCUUUUUGUUUUUUUUACAAAAUUCAAAAUAAAAAAAUACAAAACAUAAACUUAUAGAUCAAAUUUUACAUUUGACAUUUGAAAGUUUUACUUUUCAUUAAACGUUUUGUUAUAGAAUUUGGAAUCGCCCUUUGAAAUUAGUAUUUAUAAAUGAAAAUAUUGAUCUAGUCCUGUUGAAAUUGUGUCUGGCCUAGUACUUUUUCUUAUUAGAGUGAUUAUUGAAUUAGGUUUAAUAUCAAUUUUCUUAAUUAGUUUUGUCAAUUGGCAGUGCUAAGAAGAUGGGAAUUUACGUUAUAUUAAAUUAUCUUUACAUUAAUAAAAAAAGAAAUUGUUGUUAGUAUUAUUUGUAAUAUAAUUAAACAAAAAUAACAAUGGGAAGAAAAUAAUAAGUAAAGAUUACACGUUGUAUUAAAAUAAUAAGUAUUAAAAAUUAUGAUAAAUUUUAUAAUAGUCAUAACAGGAAUUUACGCAAUAAUUACUAUAUUAGAAUACUAGAAAAAUUGAUAAGUUCCUCGACAUCUAAUCAUUGAUUAAAAUUUAAAUUAUUAUUUUCUUCUGCGAAAGUUUAAGAGAUUAAAUUAAUGUUUUAAAAAAUAAUAUUAAUUAUUUUCAAUGAUUAAUAAGAAAAUGUAUAUAGCAAGUACAUGUAUUAUUAUUACAUUAUUUAUAUCCACUCUAUAUUAAAUCAUUUUUCUAUUAUAGUUUGACGCAAAUUUCAGAAUGUAAAGAAUGUUUUGGAUUCGAAAAAUAAAUAUUCAAAAUAUACUAACAUGUCAUUUAAUCUUAUGAUAUUUUACAUUUCAUGUGAAAAAAAAUUAAAUAUUAAUUUUUUAAUAUGAAAAAUAUUAAUUUAUUAAUACAACAUAAAAGUAAUAAAGGACAAUAUAUAAAAAUAUUUGAAGUAUUUGAUAUUUUAUUAAAUUAAAAUAAUUCUAAAUUAAUAUAUAGCCGCGCAACGCGCGGGUACGUAUACUAGUGAAGAACAAUAAUAAAGAAGAAGACAAUUGAGUUAAUAUUUAUUUUUUCCAAGUUUAAUUUAACACAUGACCAGUUUUUAUUGGUCAGUGCUGUCAAAAAGUUGCACCCACGCGCCUAAAAUAGGUGAAAUCACGGACUCAGCCACGUAGGCCAAAAAGUGGUAAACAAUUAACUAAAAAAUAAGUUCAGGGGGGUAAUAGGACUUUAGUAAAGGUUAGGUGUGUCUCAGGGAUUUUGGGCAUAGGCUGGGGGGGUACUUAUGCAUUUUCCCUUAUGUUAAAUAUACCAAAAUGUUUUUUAAUCUUAUGACUUUAAACAUGUCACGUGAAAAACUGAAAUUAAAGUGUUGCCAAAAAAAGAAGGGUCAUUUUUUUUAAACAGACUAAACAGAAAAGUAGAUCUUUUUAAAACGGAAGGGAAGUAAUUGUUAAUGCAAGAGGAAGCUGCUUGAAAAGUUACGUAUAUGAUGUUGAAGUUGUCUAACAUGCAAUGCUGGUCCUAUAAUCUUUCAUUAUUUAUUAUCCAUGACUAUGGGUGGAUAAUAAUAGUUAUCUGCUAUGAUCAUAUAUACCUAGGGGUGGACAUAUUACUUAGAAAACUUAUGUUAGGUAAUUUUGAUUUCUAAAAAUACUAUAUGGUGUAUGCUAUUUGCAGAUGAUAGUCCUAAUCGACCAGACUCGUAAUAGAGUUAAUGUUAAGCUAGAGAAGAUAAUAAUGGCUCCCUUCUCAAAUAUUUCAUUGGUAGAAAUUUGCCUUCCAGAAUUUCAUAAUUGCAUCUGAUCCUUUCUGAUAACUCAAAGGGCAUCUUAAAUUGGUGCGGAAGUUUAAUUUUGACAUGGAACGCAAAUAUAUGCGGAAAAUUAGUAAUUCAAUAAAUAUUUAAUUAUGAAUGCAUAUUACAAAAGUGCAAGGAAUUCAAUUGUAAGAUGUUGAAGGUUAAACCCAUAAAUUCUAAAUACUAGAGACGCCUCUUAAUGCAAAUAUAAUAUGGUUUAACUAUUUUAAACCUGGCUCAUCUCUCUUAAGUUGUCCCUGUAAUGUUUUCAUGAACUGGAGUUCCAGGUUCUGUUGUAGAGAACCCUUCAAGUGCAGGGGAUGCUCCUAAGCCGUCGGAAAUUCUGAUUUCUGGGCUUUGCAAAGGAAGGUGGGGCAAUAUUUCAGUAGAGGCUUCACUUUCUGCAAACAGCAUAGCUGUUUGGAUUUCAUUGCCUUCAGAUGGCUCUUCUGACAUAGAAUUAGAGUUGUCUCUCUCUUUAUCAAAGGCAUUUGCUAUUGCAGAAAGCUUUUGCCAUACUGAAUCAUCAGUGGCUAAGAUUUCUCUAUUCUGAUAAAGGAAGAUGAGGAAGAAUAGGAGAAGAGCGGAGCCCGCUGAUACACCAGCUAUGAGGAAAAGGCCCUUAAAACUAUCGAGCAUGAGGCUAGAUGCUAUAGCCAUUCCAUCUUGCUUUGGACAAUCUGUUUCAUUCCCAAACCAUUUCUGUAUUAUGUUAUUCAUAAACUCUCCUUCCAUCACCUGCAAGACUGCUCUUGAGACGUCAGGUACCAAAGGAGAUCCUUUUGGAAAUGCCUGCCAGAAGUUGGGGGAAAAUAAAAGAUUAAAUUAUUGAGUAGAACAUAAACCAUUCUAAACAAAUGUAAACACGUUCUGAAACAUCACUGGAGUGCAACAUUCUUACGAAUCCAAAGCCAGCAGCCUUGUAUGUCGGACCGACCAUAAUAUACUUCCUGCAAUACUUGUUGAGGAAGAGUCUGAGAUAAGGUAGUUCAUCAACAAUUGCACCAACACCUCCAUUUUUACUUCCUCUUGAGAGGGCAUUACUAUACUCUUCCAAUGUGCUAUAACUUAUGAACUUGGAACUGUCAAACUUCAUGUGCUUCAAGACAUCUUUGACAAAGGAACCUUCUUGGUACCCAACAUAUUCUCCAUUCUUGAUCAGAUCAUUGAGGUCAGUUAUAGAAGGUUGGAGCUGUUGCACUGUCAACAUAGAUGUUAAGUUGGCUGUAUAACUUGAUGUCAGCACCAGAACCACGAAAACCCACACAAUCAGCACAAAUCUUGUGAAGUUACUAGUAACCCUCUCUCCUGAAACAACCAGCCAUAUAUAUGAUUUGUUGAGAAACAAGGAUAAAUCCUAAAGCUUUUUGUAUAUAAUUUGCUUUGUGUUAGAGACUUACUAUGAGCAAAAACGAGAGUUGAGAAGGAAAACCAGAAUAUCAUCCCAACUUGCUUGUGUUUGGGUCCUCGAAACUCUUUGUUUACACGAUGUUCAAGUACCCAAACCACAAAACCAAUGAAGAUGAAGAAUCCUCCUGUUGUUAUCCAAAGCUCGCUCUUUAGAGGUUUCAAGAAAAUCCAAGCAUUCUUUCUAUCAUCAUUCUUUACCGACACAACAGCAGAAAUACCGGACUCUGAAAAAGGUAAUGUGAAAUCCACAUACUUGGCUCGGCUCGCUAAAAUGGUCACAUCACCUACAACUGCAUCAUAUUCCUGGUUCAAGCAAACAACGAUUAUUUUAGUAUAUAUGGUUGAUCUCAGUCAAAGAAGAAAGUAGAUAUGGAAGUCCCGGAAAGGAGCAUGUAAGGUAUUCAGCCAAAAAGGUUAAUUCAAAAAAGAAUUGGAUAUUACCUUUGAGGAGAUCUUGUAAACAAGAUCAUCAUAGUCUUGAGAAGUGGGGCUAACUAUUGGAAAUGGAAUAAAUUCGUAAGGGAUGGCGUAUGGCAAAGAUUGGAUAACUUCUUUGAAGACAUCUGGAAUGAAACCAGUUGCAGUUACUGCUUGUGUUUUGGCAUCUAUUUCCACUUUAAUGAAUUGCUCCAGCCCUCCUUUGACAGGAACUCCAACCCUCAACUUCUUCCCACUUGUGGGUAUUUCCCAGCCUCUCGGAACAAUAAUAGAUUCACCAGGCCAAAUGAUGGCCGCUAGUUGCUCAUUCAUACUCUUAGCUGUUUUACUAUUCAUCUUCAGUUUAUGCGAAAUGCCAUCCUUCUCGGUCCAGAAUCCAAUGCUUCUCUCUCCUUUCCCAAUUAUAUUCACAAUCUCAUAUGUGUAUAGCUGCAAUUCUCCAUCAAUGAUACGGAAUUCACCACUUAGUCCUGUUUUUGGCUUUGUAUUUCGCAUAGAGUCAAGGAGCAGAGAUCCAAAUUCUGAGGUUCCAAGUGCAUCUAAGUCCGUUAAAUUCUCUCUAGUGUCUGCUUUCUUGAAUUUUGGGAUGAUGGUAGUGCCCACUUUUGCUAUUGCUUUUGUUAAUGCGGUGAUGCUAUCAUAUGCCCAUAGCCCGUAAACAUUGAGUUCAACUGGGUCCAUGUCUGGAUACUCUUGACGGAAUCUCUUUCUCCAUCUCCUCGUGUAAUUGUUAAGCUCAUUUGAUCUUGGAAUAUAAGGUUUUAUACCAAGAACACCUUGCAUUGAUGACUCAAUUACUGAAGUAUCUACCAGGUCCAGAAGACUCGUUAGCACAUCUGUGAUGAUCCAUGCAUAUCCACUGUUCAUCAUCCCGGUUUCUUUGGCCUUGAGGAAAAGGCGGGAGGCAAGAUGUUCUUGCAAGUGCACAAUGAACACCCUGGUCUGCAUUGUCUUCAACUUGUAUAGCUCCCUGAGGAUUUGAUCAUCAUUGGCUGAAGGAGAAAUACCACUUCUAUAGGAGACUAAAGUAUUGAUUUCCAGCAAGGCAUCAGUCAAAUAUGGAAGUAUCCCGGUUCCAUAGGGGCUUUCCUCAUAGAUUACUACAACCUCCCUCCAAUUAUAGUUUUUAACAAUUGCUGCAAUGGCUUUAGUCUGACUGGAAGAAGGAAGUGCGCCUCUGAUGAAGAAGGGAUUUUCCUUGACUGAAAGUGAAGGACUAGUUGCUGGAGAUAUUAUAGGAACUUUAACUCUGUUCCCCAAGUCGAUCACAAAAUCAGUUUGUGUAGACAUUUGUGGCCCAAAGAUAGCUUGCACUUGGACAUCCUUUAGCAAGUAUAUGGCUGCACAUACACAAUCAGACUAUAAGAAAUUGUCUGAACAUCUCUUUUUCAAAAUAGGAAAAGUAAUAUCUUAGAGAAAAAGUGAAUCUUUUGAAGCAAAGAGAGAAAAAUAAUCCUAGUUUAACAUAAGUAAAGCUUAGAGCUGAAUUUUACCAGCUGAUGCUGCUUCAACAUCAUCUUUCUUUGAAUCCCUGAUAUGAGGAACUAUCCUUAUGGCACCGCGACUAGUGUUGGCAUGAUAAUCUGCAAGAGCUAGUAAGAUAGAUAUGUGCAUUACUUUUCCCACAUCUGUUUCCAGAUCAAGAAUUAUGCCCACAUCCACCUUUACAGCACUAGUGUUAUUAUCUUCACCUCUUAUUCCAAUUACAUAGUGGCAAAAGCUAAUGAUGGAAACAAGUUGAAUGAAAAUAAUUAGGAAUUUGCAUCUUGGAUUAUGCAUUUGAAAAACUCUUGUAGAAAGUAAUAUGAGUGUUGGGCAAGAAGCAGUUGUGCUUGUGCAAGAUUUAUAACCACCAUUCAGAGAUGUGUUUAAAGGUAUCUUAACUAUAACUUUUCUACAAUUAAAUGAGACCAAACCUCAUAACUGCAGAAAGAAAAGUCAAAGUUUUCAAAGAAUUACAAAUGGUUUAAAAUAUACUAGUUUGAUUAUUAAAGAAAGAGGACUUUUCACACUUGUUAGACCACAAGCUAGUAAAGCCUCCUCAGUUUUGACCAAAUCAAUAAAUGACUAAAUGAACAUAGUGACAAAAUUGAUUUGUACUCAUUCUCCCAAUACCCAAAGAAGUUUUUGUAUUCAUUGGAUGACUAUCUAGAGGCUACUAAAAGGACUUCCCAUAUUUUGGCUAAGUCAUGUUGAAAGUUGAGUGCUAGCUCAGUUACAAAUAAGUAGAAGAGGUCAGUUUCUAUGACUUGGACAUUGGAAAAGGGCAGCUAUGACUAGUAAUCUUUAGUUUACUUAGACGGUUCAGUUUAGAAUUGGUCAGUAGUAUAAAACUUUAUGGUGGUAGAGGCACAACUUGUAGGGUUGUUCCGGGUUAUCGUUAAAAAAUCAAAUCAAACUUGUAGGGUUGUUUGGUUAGGUUUUAAAUUUUGAAAAUCAACACUAUUUGGUUUGGUUUGGUUUUAAAACUGUAAAAAUAACCAAAUUGAACGUGUAAUUAUAAUAAUUGCUUGAUUGAAUCCACAGUAACUUUCAUGUGUAUUGUUCAUGUACUAGGUGUCUGUGUUUAUAUGUCUUCAAAAAAAUUAUUACUUCCAAAACAAAAAAACAAAAAAAAUUGAACCAAACCGACAAUUAUUUUUUUAUUUGGUUUUAGAAUUUAGAAACCGACUAAAUUGAUCUGGCUUUGAUUUUAGCCAAUAAUCAAUCCAAAUCGAACCAUGAACACCUCUAGGCACAAAUAUAACUUGGUAUGUGAAGGAUUACUAUAAUACCUUUCCUUCAACUUUUUUUUAAAAAAAAAAAACCUCUAUUGGUAAAUUUUUCAAAUCAGUUUUUUUUACUCAUGAGCUCUAUUCCUUUCCCUUUUAUAUUUUUUAUAAUAUAAAAUAUAAGAUAAAAUAAAGAAUUUUUUUAAAAAGAAAUGAGAAAAAAAAUGAUGAAGAUGAGGGGUGAGGAGCUAAAGGAGAGAAGAAAGAUAGAACAUAAGAUGAGAAAGGUAGGGUCCCCAUAUUUUCUUUAUCAAAAAGUAAUUUCUUACCUACCAAAGUCAUAUUUAUGCCUCUACCACCACAAAUUUUUUCGUAUUAACUUGCUUGCAAGUUGCAAAACCAAACAAAGCAAGCAUACCCAAAUGGAGAUGGAAUCUUGGAAUGAGGAUGGUUGGGUAUACAUGUAGGUUUCAAUGUCAUUAUCUCAAUAUAUAUAUACUAGAGGGGCAUGGCCCGUGCUAAGCACGGGCCCAACAUAAACAUAGUUAGUCUAUUAUUCUCUAUAUAGGCAAAAUAUUGUUGGAAACUAUUCACUUAUAUAAGUAACUAAUUCAAGUUAUGUGUUUGUUAACAAAGUUUAUUCAUUCAAGCAUCUGCAAACUAUACACCAUACCAAACCACCAAUAAAGAAAAAGACAUGAAAUGUUAACACAAAUUAAACAACUUCAAAAGAAAGAAAGAAAAGAAGAAGAAUCAAGGAGGUGAAAGAACAUUAAAAUUUUGCAGUCUUAUCAGUCAAAUUCUAGUGGUGUCACAACUUUCACAGGGACCAUCAACUCUUCAACUUUUUGUACAUAUUUGCUUUUCAGUGCCAAUAAAUUAUUAUCUGUCGUUCCUGCAAGUUUUUGGAAAAAGUGUAUCAACAAUUGAUGCUAAAGAUCAUAUACUUUGUUUUGUAUUUUAUUUUACCAAGUAAAAAAGUCAGUAAUUGAUAUACCUAAUUUACUGCACUUAAGACAUUCUAGCUUCUAAAUCUAAUAAAACAAUACUAAUGAACACUUUUAAAUAAAUGAAAGAUGAUGGUACCUAAGGGAUGGAGUAAAUGAAUCAUGUGAAGUAAGCAAAUUGAAGUCAAAGUGAAUGUGUCAAUUACGUGGCCAUUAUAUCAAAUAUUUGUCAAUUCUAACCAAAAAGAAAUUGUUAGACAGUAAAUUUGUAAAACUUUAUAGAAAAUGACCUUUUAUUUUGUCUAUUUUGCCCUUUCAUGUGCUCCUUCAUGUCGCUUCCCCUUUCCAUUUUGUCGUCCCUCUCAUCUCAAUUCCCGUUUUGUUGUCCUCUCUUCCCAAUACUAUUUUUAUCCAGCUUGAUCUGGAAAAGAGGUAACUGACAUAUUAGUGUACUUAAUUUGGAACAAAAUCACUUGGAGAACAAUAAAGUAGGUAAUAAACACGAACAAUACUUAGACUCUGAAGUCUUGGUGAUAGUUAAGUAGUAGAAUGAGGAAGAGAUUAUACAAAUCAAUAGAGUUCAAACAACAACAUAUCUUAUCAAAUCUUAUCACUACCUCGUGGAGGUAGAGGUACUCUUUCCGAAAGAUCAAAUCACUGAUCUCGAUAGUUAUUGUUGAGUAGUUAAUACAUAAAUCUCUCCAGAGUAACAAAAAAAGGGCAGAUAGGGAUUAAAAGAAAUUAAGAAAAUGAAAUACGAUGCUACAUUUCUCAAGAGUUAAAAAGAGGGACAACCAAUUUGAGUAGUAGAUUCAGGUUGAUGGUGAUCUACUAUACAACUAAAUGGUGCAACAACUCAAAAUCUCAAGGAAAACAAAUCAAGACAUUCUUGCAAAUUAAAGGCACUAAUAAAACUGCGGCAGAAAUUCUCGUGACUGUGUGGUUCUAUAUGGAAAAUGACUUCCACAUGCUUGGUCUUAGCAAUACGCCAUGUGCACAAGGAAAAAUAUAUUAUAACCACGCGUUUCUUGUUACCGAUAAACAUGACUUAUGAGAAAGUCAGUUUUUAAGAGAAUUCGAAGAACAACAGGAUAAGAAACUACCCUUUCAUUUACUUUCUCAAACACUUAAUAAGGCUUCCGUUUUUUCAACAUUCUUGCAGAGUUGAUUGUGGAGAUCAACAAUUCAUCCAUUUGACCAUUAUCACUUGUAGACACACUAAACUGACAAAGAGUCUUAUAUCAGGGGUGUAUAAAUGAAAACCCCUUCUUUUCAUAUCUAUUUGAAUUGAUUAAACUUGUCGCACAACAAAUAGGAUCAACGUUUUCAGUAAUCAAAGGAAAGAAAAAAAUCUACAUCAAAGGCAUGUUAUAUGAAGUAUGUGAAAUAAGGAUUGUAGAAACGAAGGAGAAAUAAAGAUUUGAUUAGCUUACCAUUCAAAGUAAUUGUAGACAAACAAAGAAGAAGUGAAUAUUUGAUCACCGCUUACCGUUCAACUCAACUGUAGACAAACGAAGAAGAAGUGAUUGACCCUUAAUUUGGAAUCAAUUGAUUUUUUACUAUAUCUCGAUAAAAAAUUUAAUUUAUGUAACUCAUUUCUAUAUAAACAACCAAGAUGCUUAGAACAUACAUAACAUAUUCAAUGUGGCUUACUUCUAUAAAAAUCAUAAAUAAAAUAUAAAGGAAAGCUUCAAACUCUACCUAAUUAGUUCAUAUGAUCAGCAAAAUCCAAAAAACUUGAAAAAAGAAACAAAUUUGUACUCUCUUGCAGAAAUAAGUUUUGUCUUUUGGAAACAACCUCUCUAUCUCCACGAAGUAGGGGUAACAGUCUACGUACACUCUACCUCCUCAAACCUCACUUAUGGGAACUACACUGGGUAUGUUGAUGUUGUUGUUGUUGAAAUAAGCACAAAAGACUGGACUCUCACUAAAACUUCCGUAAAGAUCAAAUUCUUAAGUUUCAUUCUGCAACUAAAAAUCCCGAAAAUGAAGAAUCAGAUUACUCACAUUGACAAAAGUGGGGUAAAAAAUAACUUGAGCUUUGCUAUUCAAAACAUCAACAACUUCUUCAAUCCCAGAAAGUCUUUUAAUUGCCUUUAAAUGCCUAGCACUAUUUUUUUAAGAAGAAAUUACUGAACAACCUUAGUGAAAAUUCCAAAUUCGCCAUUGCAUCCAACCCCCGUCCCAUCCCUGGACUAUCCUACACCAGCUACCCUUAAAUCCUCACCCAUCCAUCCCAUUGAGUUUUGCUGGAUUACAACGGCCCCCAUCCCAUCCCUUGACUAUCCUAUACAAAAUGGAAAAUCUCUUCUCCAAGGAGUUAGGAGACAAUAAUCGACAUAACUAUGUCAUCUUAUAUAGGGACAAAAUGAAUACAAUCUCACCCUGUGGUCUUCGAAUCUAUAGUAGACAAACGGUAAGUAAAGAGAUAUUGUAUAACUGCACCAACUAUUCAUUAUUUCUGAAGUAAUACAGUGAGUGCAUCACAUGUUAAAGAAAUAAAAUUAAGUUUAUUACUUUUAUUCAUGAACAUGUACAACUCUUGAGAUGAACUUUAAUUUGUCAGUAAACUAUAAAAUAGAGGUAAUUUGUAAAGGCUUAAGCCUAUUGGAUUAGAUUAUGUUCUCCGUGGGGGCAGUUUUUCUUCAACUCCAAAACUGUAUACGUCACUUCUGGUGGUUAUAUGAUUUACAUAUGAGAGGCGACAAUUAGAAGCUGAGAAAAGAAAUGAUCUCAGGUUACAUGACAGAACAAACCAAGUAAUGUUACACUCCCAAUUUCUUUCAGGACACAUAGUAUUGAUAUUUGCGAGCAUGAAAGACUGAAGGAUUAAACAGAGGAGAUAACUCUUAAGAGAGACCUCAUCAAGAACUUAAGAAAAUUUGUGUGAUAAUUUAACAAAUUUAGCGAGGCUAAUUGAUGAAGGAAGUCUAUUCACACUAUAUUCAUUUUAGUGCACUUAUUGACUAAAUGUUUCCCAAGUUCGAAUGUGAGGCCUCUAUUUGAGGAUGUAAUAAAACAACAUUUACCAUUAGAACUAAUUGAGCAGCUUGUGUUAACCCUCUGUAUUUACCUGACGAAUAUGCUUUAAGGUGGAGGAAUUUUUUGCAGUAGUCUUCUAUUAAAACAUCAUUUAAGCUACCUAAAUGAAUGGACAACAUGUAGUUUUUCGACGCAGAAACAAAAAAUCUACCUAACAAAGAGACAGAUAUAUCAAAGAAGCCACAGGUCGAUAAUCAGAGUGUCCUAAAGAGUUACAUUUACAAAAGUUGAGGAGACUGGACACGCUGUCAAAUUAACUCAACACUGAUGCUGCAUUGAAAGUGAGAGUCCAUGUAAUGUGGAUACAAUUCAUUAAGUACACACAAAACAGUCAGCAACUAAUUUCAGUGAUGUGCAACAAAAUUCAUAUAACAUAGCCACCAAGUUGACCAUAAAAUCCAUCAAAACACAUUAAUGAGGAAUUCGUCUUACUUCAGUUUUGAAUUCCCCCGGCUUUUAAGUAUACAAGCCACAUUUUUACUGAAUUUUCUCUUCAAGUGCAGUAAAGUAGCUCAAAGAACAGAAAGCAAAGUUACAACUGACAACUACAUCGAGAAAGAGGCUACUAUGGACUGUCAAUUUUUACAUGUGAAUCCAAAAAUUAAGCUCGCAUAACAACGGGUAAUAUACCAAAUUCAUAUUAAAUUUUAGAUCAAACAACAUCAUUUAUCAUGCCAAAACAGUCUAGCUGUGCAACUUUUAAGCAAUUUGGAUACACUUAUAUCUAAAAAUUGGCUAAACUAUUGAUAAACGUACUAUCUAAUGCUGGAAAUAUGACAUAGUACAGUGAAUAUUGAUCAAUUUACUACCAUCGCUGCAUUUUGAUACUCCUUGAACAGAGAAACGGAUGGAAAUGGACCAGCCAAGCUACGCCUAAUUACACCAUCUCUAUCUUUUAACUACUUUUGUACUUGGCUUCCGAUUGACGCUCAGCUCAGGUAAAGCACAAGAACAAUUAGGAGUAAAUUGAAAUUGUAUAUUACCAGUGGUCAUAUACUCGGGAGUAGCACAACUGAAUUGUAUGGACAAAUCAUAAGAGGGCAACAGAAAUAUUGUUAAAACUUGUAGAAGACUAAAUUUUAAAGUAGUUUUAGAUACAGCAGCCAGCAAAAUGUUAGAUGAUUUGAAAUCCUGAUACAUAAUUUUAGCUUCUGGGCUGUGGAGAUAUGUCAGUCCUUUAGCUGCCUUGAGAGUAACCUUCAUUCGGAGAUUCUAUGAUAGCGGUUGGAAAUAAGCACUCCUCUGUUCAAGAUGUACCAAAGGUUUAUUCAAUGACAUUACACGGAUAAUAUUAGUGGAUGUCCUCAAAUUAGAUGUGGAUUCAAGAUUUCAAGUUUAUGGAUUUCUAUAAUGAACUAAGUUCAUAGUAAAAUAAAUUUCUUAUACAUGGUUUAGAAAAAACAAUUGGGUCCCCAUGAAUCUACAUAUCAUAUUGUGGAUCUGUUCUUGCGUUAAAUAUGCAGUUAUGGUUUCAUACAAACUAUACUUACUUCUGAAUAGAUGAUUUUCCAAACUUCCCCUCGGCAUGAAUUCGCACACCAGAAUCUUGUGUUCAUCUUCUAACCUGGCUCAGGUAAGCAAUUUUCGCCUGUAGUUUAAGUGUACAGAGAAAACAGUUAAUCAACUUAUCAAGAUCAAGAAUUAUAGGAAAGCUUCAAUGUCUUUGAUAAAACAAUCAUCGGAUAUUUUAAAGGGAAGAGUUUAUAUACCAAUCAUUCCUUGUGACCUUGAAAGCUUUCUUCAAGAAUUUCACUUUGACUUUGAGGAGUCAACUGAGCCGAUAAAUAUGAAUGUGAUCAUGGAAAUGAUGCCUAAUUAAUAUGUAUCUUUGUAUGUCUUCUGUCUGUUCCUAGUAAAAGUUGCACCAGUUUACAUCAAUUAAGUAAUAAACUGAAUAAGUUAUAACAUGACUAUCUUAUAGCUUAUUUCAAACUGAACACGUACAUCUUCAUUACGUUUUUUAAAAUUUAGUAGAAAUAGAAAUGUAUAAUGGUACCUGAUAAGCAAAUCAAAUUCGUGACUAUCUUCUUGGCUCAUUCGUUAUGGAUGAACUUGAAGUUUCAUAAUGAACUUACUUUCAGCAGGGUUAUAAGCAUCCAGAUCAUAAAAUUCUUCAGGGGCAAAUGGUAUAGGAACAAAUCUCUGAGCCAAUUUUGUAAUUCCCUCAAGGCGGUAACUAUUGAUUGAAAUCUGCAUUUUUCCAUAGCUUUCAGAUAAAUGAAUAAGAUGUGUUAAAAAUGGAGAUUGUUUGCUAUUUAUAUACCGAAACUUGCACUCUAUGAAAAAUAAAUAACUUAUCUUACAAAGAAUUCUUCAUGUUCAAAGAAAGUCUCCCGUGUCAUAUAAGCAAAUUAUAGUUUAUGUUUAUCUACAUAUACAUAUGUUAGUAUUCAACAUUAUAAUUCAACUGCAUAUCCAACUGGAAAAUUAAAUCAACUAAAGAGGGAGAAAUACUGGACUUUCCACAUAUGAGAAAGGGUUGUGAAAAUAGGGUAACUCUAAUAGCUAAUCCUUCCAGUUGAAAGUGUUUUUGAGAAAAAAAAUCAAAUUAAGUUCGAUGUACCUGAUAACGCUCAAUGUUCCCUGCAUGGCAUCUUCUCAAUUUCUUUCCUUUCCUUUCUUCUCCAAGUACUUGUAAAGUCCUAUUUAUGAAAAAUUAACAAAUUGAAAAAACACCCACAUCAAGAACAAAAGCGGAAGAAACACUACAUUUCAAUAAUCAAAAGCACAAAAAAUUGAAAUACAAAGCGGGACAACGGAGAAGAAGAGGAGUAAACGACCAUAACAACAACAUCCAAUCAAGUUUAGAUUCAGUACAUGCAACAUUACCACAACCUAAACACCAAAAUUGAUGAAUAAAAAAAAGUCGGAACUCAUCAAAUGAAAAAAUCGACAAAACAGAUCUAAAGUCAAAAGGCAAAACAAAAAUGAGAAGAAAGAAGGAAGGGAAGAAGCAGUGCAUACCUAGGAAGGUAUGCAAUUUAACUGAGAAUUUCAUAUGAGGGCUUGCAAAACCCUUCCAUUUUGCAGAGCAUUUUUUCUUGGGACAGAGAAUGGAUGCAGAGGAACAGGGAUAUAUCACAUAGCUAGGACACGUGUUUCACAGAUGAAUAUACAGAUACACAUUAGUUAGAAAGCAAUGAGUCAAAUUACCAAAUUAACCCUAUUGGUACAAUUAACUUGAAUUUUGGUACAACUUGUAUAUGUUGUGUUAGUCCGAACUCUUGUUGGCUGUAGAAGGACACGUGUAGCCCACGUGUUUAUUCAAUAGUGAAUAGGGCUUAAUGGUACAGUACAAUUUUUUAUACUAUUGGUACAACUUUGUAGAGCUGUGUUGGUACUCUUCUUGUUGGCUUAUAUAUAAGGGUAAAGAGCUGUGUUGGUACUCUUCUUGUUGGCUUAUAUAUAAGGGUAAAGAGCUGUGUUGGUACUCUUCUUGUUGGCUUAUAUAUAAGGGUAAAGAGCUGUGUUGGUACUCUUCUUGUUGGCUUAUAUAUAAGGGUAAAGAGCUGUGUUGGUACUCUUCUUGUUGGCUUAUAUAUAAGGGUAAUAUAUAUACUCCCUCCGUCCCAAUUUAUGUGGCACCCUUUAUUUAUAGUCUGUUCCAAAAAACAAUGUCAUCUUACUAUAAUUAGAAACAAGGGAAAAGACUCAAAUAUGUUAUUGAAAUUUGAGAAAAGACUCAUUUAUGUCGUCCGUUAAAAGUUUGGUUCAUCUAUGUCAUUUUCGUUUGAGAAAAAACUCAUCCAUAUCAUUAGUUGUAAACUAAAAAUAAUUUUGGUUUUGUAAGAUCAUUUUAUACACGUGGUCAAUUAUGAUUUGGCCAUGUCAUCAAUUAAAUCAUUUCUAUAGAAGAGAAAAGGUUCAAAUAUGUCAUCGAACUUUGAGAAAAACUCAUUUAUAACAUCCGUUAAAAGUUUGUCUCAUCUAUGCUAUUUCAGUUAAUAAAUAAUGGCAUGAAUGAGGUUUUUCUCAAAUGAAAAUGGCAUAGAUGAGCCAAUUUUUUAACGAAUGACAUAUAUGACCUUUCUCAAAGUUCGAUGGCAUAUUUGAGUUUUUUCACUAGAAACAAUUUCAUUUAAAAUUCACUGUUAUCCUUAAUGAAAUUAUUUACAAACACACAAAUAUCUAAGGAUUGUUUUAAAUCACAAGUUUAAAAGUCUUUUUUUAAAAAAAUAAAUAUAUCGUGUCAAGUUAAACAAUGCCACAUAAAAUGAGACGGAGAGAGUAAUUGUUAAUGCAAGAGGAAGCUGCUCGGGAAGUUACGUGUAUGAUGUUGAAGUUAUUUGACAUGCAAUUGAGGUGAUCCUAUAAUCUUCCAGUAGUUAUGACUAGUAAAAUCACUCAAUUUAUAAAAUAAUACUUAAAAUAUAUGAGUCAUUAAAACUAAAACACUAUAUUAUCUUACAUAUAAGAUUACAUAUAACAAACAUUAAUAAUGUAAGUAAAAAAAAAUUUGAAUAUGUUAACAAAUUUUUGAAUUUUUUCCUCAGACAUAUAUCACAAUUGUAAAAUCUAUGCAACUUAAAUGUGUUCUUGUUCUUACGAAACGCCUUUGUGUAUAUAUAUUCUUAUUUUAUUCUCUCUUUUUUUCCUUUUAAUGAUGAUUAAAUAACCAUUAAUUUAUUAUUUCCUGAAUAAUUCAUUCAUUAGAUGUUCUUGAGUUUAUGUGAUAAUGACAAAUAAUAGUAUAGAUUCUUUUAAGGAAUUUUUUACUGUACCUUCAACAAUUUCAUGAUCAGUAGAGAAAACUUGCAUGAAUACUCAAUUAACAUGUGUUGUUUAAUCUGUACUAACAAAUACUUAAAACAAUAACUUUGUAGAAACAUAAACACAAGUUUAAAACAUGUACUCAAAAACAAUAAUUAAUAACAUAAGCAUAAAUUAAUGAUUGUAAAAAAAUAUACCAGGAUCUGUAAUAAUAGGAUGAAACAGAAAGGAAAAAACUGUACACGAAUAUUUAAUUGUGCAGAUUAAGAAGAAGAAGUUCAAAAUUUUCGUUUUUUUAAAAUGAGAGGAAAUCACUCUAUUUAUAGCUAGACAACAAAGGGUAGUGUGAACAAAUGUUUAUUGUGCCUUAUCGAAAAGGUCACAACUCUUUGGAAAAGUUACAACUGUUUGGAAAGGUCAUAACCUUUCAUAAAAGACACAACUUUUCAUAAAAGUCGCAACUCUACAUAGAAGUUACAACUUUUCAUAAAAGUCGCAACUGUUCAUAUAAGUCGCAACUUUUCAUAAAAGUCACAACUUUUCAUUAAAGUAGCAAAUUUUUAUGAAAGGGGAAGGAUAGUUUUGUAAAUAUAUUAAUUAAAAAAGGAAUCAUGGUUUGUGAUGGCGCCACGUAGGCAGGCCUAGGAUUCUCUUUUAUAUAUAUAUAUGAUAUAUGAUAUGAUUAUUUACUGUGGUCGUUUUCUGAUAUGAUCACAAUAAGAUAUAACCGUCUAUUAUCUUUUAAACUUGUUUUUCUUUUUAGUUUGCAAUAUAUUUUGGAUUGGUAACAUUAGUAGUAUUAAAUUGUUAACAGCACUAGUUUGCAAUAUUUUUGGUUUCUACAAACAUUAUUUGCACAUAUUGAAAGAAAUAUAUAUGAUAUGGUUUCAUUGAAUUAUAUCCUCUACAUAAGCAGUGAAGACAAACAAAGUACUAAUGUUAUUUAAAUUGUCUCUAAAAUUUUGAUGAUUUAACAAACUUUGAGAUCUAACGAACGACCAGAUUCCAAGAGAGAUUGAGAGUUCCGUUUAUGAAAAAAACAGCGGUCUAAAAGCUGCAACACCUGCUGUGGUUGGUGCACGUAUUUUGCAGCAGACAUUCAGCCAAUAGCAGGGCAUUGCUUCAAGAGUUUGGGUCCAUCCUAUAAUACACCUCUUUGACAUUGACACAAACUCAAGUUUUUGCAAUAUAAAAAUUCACAACAGCAAAAGUCAUUCUCUCAGGGAAAUAUUUCUCGAUAAAUGAUAGAGUUAUCAUCGUUCUUAUGUGUUUUUAGGGCUUAUAUUUCUGUGCUUAUACUUGUAAGAUCUAUUCCUACGUUAUAAAGGAAUUAGAUCAUUUGAAGUUUUUUCUGAGUAUUCCGAGUUAUAUCUAGAGUUAGUUAUGUUGUAUUCUUGAAUUCUAGAUCAACUAUAGCUAGUUGAUUUAGUGGGUCAUAGAGUUAUUGCUUAGUUUUUGAGUAACAGAGUUGUUACUAUGAGGGGAAGGGAUUAAGAGUUUAAUUCCUAGGUUACAAGAGUUUGUAAUCUGAAGCUUUGCACUUUUGAUGAUAAUGGAGUUGGGUUAAAUCCUGUGAGACAGACCGUGGUUUUUUCCUCCCUUGAACAAGGGGCUUUCCACGUAAAACUCUUGUAUUUGUUUUAAUUUGUGUUAUUUAUUUUCCACACAAUUUUUCUUUCAAGGGACUUGGUCCAUUGACCGUUAGUGGACGCAUACAUUCUAUGAGUACUAAUAAGAUUGAAAAAGAAACCACUAAGAAAAAGUUAGGGUUAAAUCCAUCAAAUGGAAUCCUGGAGCCACCUCUUGAUGCUAAUAUUCUGGCCAAGAUCAGUAACAAAGAUAUAAUGUAAUCUGGUUUAACUAACCCUAAAGCUAGCUCAUCUCUGUGCAAUCUCAUAUAGGGCCCUAUUCAGGUGUGUCACAAUUAUGGUAGUAGCUAUAUGUGUCAUCUUUCUUCAAUUGUGUCUGUAAUGGUUUCAUGAACUGGAGUUCCAGGUUCUGUUGUAGAGAACCCUUCAGCAGCAGGGGAUGCUCCUAGUCCGUCGGAAAUUCUGAUUUCUGGGAUUUGCAAAGGAAGGUCAGGCAAUAUCUCAGGAGAAGCUUCACUUGCUGCGAGCAAUUUAGGUGCAUUGCUUUCAGAUGGCUUUUCUGACAUAGAAUUAGAGUUGUCUUUCUCUUCAUCAAAGACUUUUGCAAUUGCUGUAAGCUUCUGCCAUAUUGAAUCAUCAGUGGCUAAGAUUUCUCUAUUCUGAUUAAGGAAGUUGAGGAAGAAUAGGAGAAGAGCGAAGCCUGCUGAUACACCAGCUAUGAGGAAAAGUCCCUUAAACCUAUCUAACGUGAGGCUAUCAGAUGUUAUAGCCGUUUCAUCUUUCUGUGGACAAUCUGUUUCAUUCCCAAACCAUUUCUGUAUUAUGUUAUUCAUGAACUCUCCUUCCAUCACCUUCAAGACUGCUCUUGAGACGUCAGGUACCAAAGGAGAUCCUUUUGGAAAUGCCUGCAAUAAAAGAUUAGAUGAUUGAGUAAACAACAAAUCAUUCUAAAUAUAUGUUAACAGUGUCUGAAACAUCAGUGGAGUGUACAAUCUUACAAACCCAAAACCGGCAGCCUUGUAUGUCUG